ensembl:lncRNA
GGGCAGGGACCGAACCCGCAACCUCAUGGUUCCUGGUCGGAUUCGUUAACCACUGCACCAUGAUGGGAACUCCUCCAUUCAUCUAUUGAUGGAACUUUAGCUUGCAUCCAUGUCUUGGCUAUUAUAAAUAAUGCUGCAGUGAACAUAGGGGCACAUAUAUCUUUUCUAAUUAGAGUUUUUUGCUUUCCUUGGAUAAAUAUCCAGGAAUAGAAUUGCUGGAUCACUUGGUAUUUCUAUUUUUCAUUUUUGGAGGAAAUUCCAUAACGUAUAUAUAUAUAUAUAAGACAUGGUGACACGGCUUCCUCUCAGAUGCGCAUCACUCAAAGCCCUGUUUGCCUGCAUCCUGGCAUGCUGCUGAUCUGGACUACCAGUGUCUCUGAAGGCCACCAGAGGAGCAGACCACAUAGCUCUGCUGUCUGGAAAAAGUAGGAAAUGCCUUGGUAGUGGCGGUGCACGGGAUCAGAUGCUGGCCAUCUGGAGGGUGCAGAGUGUACAAAGCUCUGCAGGUCCCAGGCUGUCCCCACAGAAGCGUAUGGGUCUGGGUGAAUACAUGAGUGUGCGCACUUCCAUGCUAAAGAGGGCUGUUAUGCUCCAAUCUGGCCAAAGCACUGGAACUGACUCCUCUUCCCAUACCAGGACAUGCCAAGUGAGCACCAGGACAGCAGAAGGCAGGCUGCCUUGGGAGCAGGCAGUGGCCCAGGGAUUGGCUUUACUCAGCAGCUAUGUAUAGUGCUGGCAGAGGGCGUUCCUUGGGAACUCUCACUUUGAGUCAGGGAGUGCAUCUGUCCUGUAAUUUUCCAAGGGGAGAGAUGAAAAUCUGAGUUUGGAGAGUAGCUAGAGCUGAUUCUGGAGCCGCGCCUGUGCCUCUCUGUUCUUCCUCCUGAAAUCUGUUCUCCCUCCUCCAGGUGGCUUCCUGUUUGAAGGGCUCUCCGAUGAGGAGGAUGACUUUCACCCAGGCCAUUCCUCUGGGACCUCCCCAAUGUCCUCAGGCGUCCAGUCAGGGACGCCCAUCACCAACGAUCUGUUCAGCCAAGCCCUACAGCAUGCGCUGCAGGCCUCCGGGCAGCCCAGCCUUCAGGUCAGUCUUCCCACUCCUGGUGUCCACGCGGCUCUUUGUCACCUUGGACACUGAGCUUUUUGUGCUCUGUGGAGGCCCUUCCCACUUGGCCUGCUUUGCUCCAGGACAGCUGGGCCGUGACAGUGUGACAGGAGAGGAUGCCCGCAGCAAGGGCGGUUGUCCCUGUGGCUUCCACUCCUGCACCCAGUGACCACCGCCUGACCCCAGGGACCACCUGGCUAGGAUGCUUGUGGCAGUUGUGGUCGAGGAGUCGCUCAUGUGUUCUGUGAGUGUUGAUGAGCUGCUGAGCAGGUAUAGACCAGAUCCAGGUCCAACUUCUGGGGAAGAGACAAGUGGUCCUCAUCCCUGCCAUGUCAUGGAGGGGCGCCAGGCAGCCCAGGCUUGAGGUGAAGGCCUGGGUCAGGCAAAACUUUUCUGAGAAGGAGGUGUUUGGGCUGACUGUCAAAGAAUUAGUUGGAGGUUAGCCAGGCGGGGAAAAGGGUGUUUGGUUGAGGUGGGGAGUGUCCAGGCAGAGGCAGCCAACCUUAAAAAUGGCCUAUGUUAGUUCACCUAUGACUUUCUACCCACAAGCCUGGUUUUGAAAUCAUAGUGCCUGCCACGCUCUGCAUAUUGUUCCUGGGGUCAAUAAUGAGACUUAGCUUAAUGUCUCAUCCUAUUCCUAAAUUCUCAGCCAGAUCUAUCACUCUGAGAAAAAUAUUUUCUUCCUGUUAUCAUUCCUGGUAUCAUUAUCAGAUCCCUAUUUUUUAAAUCAUCUCUGGACAGAACUAGAAAUUCUCACACUAAGUGAGGUAAGUCAGAAAGAGAAAGACAAUCCAUACAAUAUCACUUACAUGUGGAGUCUAAAAUAUGGCACAGGAGUUCCCGUCAUGGCUCAGUGGUUAACGAAUCCGACUAGGAACCAUGAGGUUGCGGGUUCGGGCCCUGCCCUUGCUCAGUGGGUUAAGCGAUCCGGCGUGGCCGUGAGCUGCGGUGUAGGUUGCAGACGCGGCUCGGAUCCCACGUUGCUGUGUCUCUGGCGUAGGCCGGUGGCUACAGCUCCGAUUCGACCUCUAGCCUGGGAACCUCCAUAUGCCACAGGAGCGGCCCAAGAAAAAGCAAAAAAAAAUAAAAAAUAAAUAAAUAAAAUAAAAUAAAAUAUG